CCUACGGGAGGCUGCAGUGGGGACUAUUGCACAAUGGGGGAAACCCUGAUGCAGCGACGCCGCGUGAGUGAAGAAGUAUUUCGGUAUUUAAAGCUCUAUCAGCAGGGAAGAAAAUGACGGUACCUGACUAAUAAGCCCCGGCUAACUACGUGCCAGCAUCCGCGGUAAGCCGUCGGGGGCAAGCGUUAUCCGGAUGUAAUGGGUGUAAAGGGAGCGUAGACGGUGAUGCAAGUCAGACGUGAAAGCCCGGGGCUCAACUCCGGGACUGCUUUUGAAACUGUGUGACUGGAGUGCAGGAGAGGUAAGCGGAAUUCCUGGCGUAGCGGUGAAAUGCGUAGAUAUCAGGAGGAACACCAGUGGCGAAGGCGGCUUACUGGACUGUAACUGACGUUGAGGCUCGAAAGCGUGGGGAGCAAACAGGAUUAGAUACCCUGGUAGUC
rnacentral:rRNA from 1 species